UGCGUUCCAGCAGCUUGCCCACCUCAUCC
rnacentral:sRNA from 1 species